rnacentral:rRNA from 1 species
CUAAGAAUAUUCCGCAAUGGACGAAAGUCUGACGGAGCGACGCCGCGUGGAUGAAGAAGGCUGAGAAGUUGUAAAAUCCUUUUGUUGAUGAAGAAUAAGGAUAAGAGGGAAUGCUUAUCUGAUGACGGUAAUCAGCGAAUAAGCCCCGGCUAAUUACGUGCCAGCAGCCGCGGUAACACGUAAGGGGCGAACGUUGUUCGGAAUUAUUGGGCGUAAAGGGCAUGCAGGCGGUUGUGUAAGCCUGAUGUGAAAUCCUAGAGCUUAACUCUAGAAUAGCAUUGGGUACUGCACAACUUGAAUUACGGAAGGGAAACUGGAAUUCCAAGUGUAGGGGUGGAAUCUGUAGAUAUUUGGAAGAACACCGGUGGCGAAGGCGGGUUUCUGGCCGAUAAUUGACGCUGAGAUGCGAAAGUGUGGGGAUCAAACAGGAUUAGAUACCCUGGUAGUCCACACCGUAAACGAUGUACACUAGGUGUUGGGGUACGAACUUCAGUGCCAAAGCAAACGCGUUAAGUGUACCGCCUGGGGAGUAUGCCCGCAAGGGU